GUAUUGUGAAUGAAAGGUGAAAAGAAUUCCGAAAGGUAGGUGAAAUAGUACUGAUUUAAAUGUUGCCCGUUAUCCCGAAUAUAACUGCUUGUGGAAGAAAGAAUUGUUGACUUUCAAUAUCUUGUUUUUUGUUGUUGAAAUGAAAUAUCUAAUCUUGUUAUUAAAGCCCGAAUACUA
rnacentral:rRNA from 11 species